UAAUCAUUUGUCUGAAUCAUAAAGCGAACUCACCCUCUCCUACUACAAAAUGUGCUUGACCAGCGGUAUCAAUAAACGUUGCAUGCAGGAUUUUAGCAUCCGUCUGAUUUACUGUGAAGGCAAAAGAUGUAUAUGAAGCAUAUGGAUGAUAUACUGUUUUGAAAGAUGCUGUGACUAGAAGUGCUGAAUCACAAGAUGCUGACUCAAAGAAAAGAAUCCCACUUCCUCUCGGAAUCUGCCACCGGCUUCGACUCGAAGAGGAGCUUGAUGGUCCCGACGAUGCAUGGUGCAGCCACCAAAAGCCUGCACAGGGUAAAGCAACGGGUCCCUGGAGACAGCAUCUCCUGAACAUCUUACCUGCACUGCUUCGCUAACGGAUUAGUUGCCUCUGUGUUAUAAUGACGUAACUUAGAUCAGAAACUACAGGAUUAGGUUGAAAGGAAAAAAGUUACCAGGAAAGAGAGAAAUUCACUUCAGAGUGGCAUAGUGAAAAUCUUUUGUUUGUGAAACCUUGUCUAACGCAUAAAUAUGAUACGAUGUAGUUCUGCAGGAACACGUUCUGUUUUUCUGUUCUUUGUUUUAGACUUCAUGAACUGUAUUGUGUUUGUAGACAAUACAUAAUUCAUAGGAU
rnacentral:lncRNA from 1 species